rnacentral:lncRNA from 12 species
GGGAAGGUGAUGCCAGCAGAGAUAACAGCAUAAGCAAAGUCCAGGAGGCCAGGGUACUGGAUAAAGUGCAAAGUAGAAGCAGAAAAGACAGGAGUAGCAAUUGAAGGAAGAGCUCAAAGGUAAGCUGGCCCACAUGGAGAAGGGCAUUGACUGCCAGACUAUGGGCUAUGGCUUUUCAAGAUGUAAAAACAAGCCUUGAAAUUUUCCCCAACUGCCUGUCUUUAAAUUUUUGGCAACCCUAUCCACAAAAAGAAUGCAUUAGGAAGUCUUUUCUUCCAGCCACAGGGCACAAUUAUUGACCUGACAGGCAGUAAAAUCCCCUUUGGAACUUGGAGCCAGAUGAUGAAAAGGUCAGAAAGGCAAAGGGCAUUGCCACUUUCCAGUGUUUAAACAGUGCUGGGAAGAACCAGGGCUUCUGGCAGGGAGCCACGAAAUUCCAAAGGUCAUGUGUGGCAGCAGAGUCCGGAAGCUGGAAGCGAAGAGUCAUCACCAUGCUAGGAGUCACAUAGGAGGAAUUAGAAUCAUACUUCUCUCUCAAAGGGAUUGAAAGUUGAGAACAAAAUGAAACGGGGAGGAGGAAGUGUGCAGAGUUUGGGAAAGAACACAAUUGGUGUCCGGGCUGACAGGAACCAACUAAUUGAAGAAUGAGCUCCUGGGCUCAGCUACUGUCUUUUUUUUUUUUUUUUCUUUUCUCUCUCAGAUACUGUCUUUUGUAAGCCACACCUGAGUUUGCCUGCCUUAAGAGUAGCAAGAGCCUGAGGCCCCAGAGGACACUGGGGUACAAAGGAGGCACAGACCAGGGCUGGAAAGGCGUCCUCACUGGCGAAUCCCCUGAGCCCUGCAGGUCAAGAGAGGUGUGUACCCUGCCCCCUUUCUGGAUCCCGGGCCAGCCUUGCCCUUCUCAGCCCCAAGGCUGUGACACCUGGUGUCUGAUUCCAGCUGGAGCCAUAAAGAGCACAUUCCUCCUGGAUAAGCUGUCCAAACCCACCAUAACAUCUGCUGUUCAACCUGACAUCGCAUGGACCUUUACUGCAUAUUUUACACACAAUCGGAAGCAUCCGUUGGACACAAAAGAGCACCCAUGAUGCUCUUUCCAGUGUGUAGUACCUUCCCCCCCACCCCAGACAGUGUCAGUCCCUCUCUCUGUCUCCAUUUAUGAAAAUCCUACCUAUCUUACAGGGCUUAAGUGCCACCUCUACCAUGAAACCGUCCUUUAUCUUUUGAAACCAUAAUAAUCCUCUUUCCUUUAAACUUACAGAUUUCCCAUUUGCCCUCUAUAGGAUCAUAGGAUGCUUGCCUCGUUUGUUUGUUUGUUUGUGUUUGCUGUGGUCAGUUGUGUACAUUCUCCGCACUAGACUAAAGUCCUGGAUGGCAUAAUGUCCUCCAUUCUACCUAAUUUUGGGGUAUACAUAGCACAAAGGAAAAUAAACCCCUUAAAAAUUGGAGAGAAGACA